GACAGAGGGUGCAAACGUUGUUCGGAAUUACUGGGCGUAAAGCGUGUGUAGGCGGCCGCGCAAGUCGGAUGUGAAAUCCCCGGGCUCAACCCGGGAAGUGCACCCGAAACUGCGUGGCUUGAGUACCGGAGAGGUUGGUGGAAUUCUCGGUGUAGAGGUGAAAUUCGUAGAUAUCGAGAGGAACACCGGUGGCGAAGGCGGCCAACUGGACGAGUACUGACGCUGAGACACGAAAGCGUGGGGAGCAAACAGG
rnacentral:rRNA from 1 species